AGAGCAUGUGAUUGAUAGGUUAGGUUAGGUUAGGUUAGCUAGUUAGUUAGAUACAUACUAGGAAAUAUAGAAAUUGACUGGGUUAAGAGUGAGAGAGGAGUUAGGCAAGACUGUAUUUUGUCACCAACCUUUUUUUUAGCUUGUAUACAGAAGAGUUAGCAGCCAGAAUGAGAAAAAUGAAUAUGGGAGUGAGUGUGGGGAAUGAUGAUAUGUAUGUUUUUUUUUUUUUAUGCAGAUGAUGCAGUGGUUAUGAGUGAAUUGGCAGAUGAGCUUCAAAGUUUGUUUGAUGUUAUAGAUGGAUAUGGAAGGGACUUUGGUGUGAGAUUUAGCAGUGAGAAAAGCAAGGUCAUCAUUGUGAAUAGGUCAGAGGAUGAGAGAAAUUCAUUGUGGAGACUGGGAGAAAAUGUGUUGCAACAGAAAAAUGAAUACACGUACCUGCGAAUGUGGAUGAGUCCGAAUGGCUGUGUGAAGACAAAGAAUGAAAAGAUAGGCAUGGUGAACCAGUGGGUGGGUCGUCUAGGAAAUGCAGCAAGGAUAAGAACGAGUAAAUAUGACGUGCUGCAAGAAGUCUGGAAGAGCGUGGCUGUUCCGAGCAUUAUGUAUGGUAUGGAUGUGAUUGUGUGGAAUGAAAAUGAAUUAGAAAAGUUAGAAGUAGGACAGAAUAGAGUAGCAAGGAUGGCACUUAAUGCACCAAGGUAUGCGGCGAUAGAGGCCUUGAGAGGAGGACAUGGGUAGGAGCACUUUUAGAGAGAGACAUGCAAAAGCAACCUUGAUGCACAAAGCUAGAUUUGAGGGAAUGGAUGAUGCGAGACUAGUAAGAAAGGUGUUUCUGUGGAAUGGUAGGAGUAGCAGGUGGGGGAAGAAGUGUGUUCAGAUGGUAGUAAAGGGUGGUUUGGAAAGUGGUUGGGCUUUUCAGCGAUUUGAUGGGAAGGCAUGUUGAGAGUGACUGGAGUAUGAUUGUCAGAAAUGGGGAUGGUUUAGAAUGGGAUGUAAGAAAGUGGAAAAAUGAGAUAGAUAGAGUGGUGAAGCAUGUGGGAUUGAGUGAAUGGAAGAAUAAGAUGGAACAUAAGAGUACUUUGGAGUGGUAUAGAGAGAAAAAAGGCCCCAAUGUAUGAAAAGUGGUAUGAGGGAAGCCCGGGCGGUGAUCUUUUCCGAGCGAGGGCAGUAUAUGGAUGUCUACGCAAGGAGUUACAGAUGGUCGAGUCCCACAGCAAGGUGUGCCAGAUGUGUGACAUGGGAGAGGAUUAGACGGUGAAGCACGUGGUGCUGGAGUGUGUGAAGUAUGCCAGAGACAGGAAUGAGAUGAUGCAAGUGGUGCUUAGGGAAUUGGGGCAUGCUAGAGUGGAGAAGACAGGAAGGGAAUGGAUGGUAUUGCUGCUGGGACUGUGGGGAGACGAAUGAAAGGAUGAUUGAGGCUGUGAAAGAGUUCCUGGAGAAAAUGUGACGUGCUAGAUGUAGGAACUAGUGGUGUGAUAGAUACUGUAUGACUCUGUAUGCCGUUUCCUGUUUGUCGUUCUUUUUUUCCCCAACAGGAGUGUCGAUACAAAGGCAUGGCUUGGAAGGAAUCCUGAGCCUCCUGUAAGAUCAAGGUCAAGAUCCUGAACUAGCAAAGAUAAAUGAGAAGAAUAAAUGUAGGGAUACCUAUUGGCCUGGACAAUGCUGGGAAGACAACAUUGGUGAAGAGAUUCUGUGACAAGGACAUCAGCACCAUCUCCUCUGCAUACAGCUCCAACAUCAAGACUGUUGAGCAUGUCAUUGAUAAAUAUGAAGCUACUGGUGGAACUACUUUGAGUGCACUGACGUCCUUAUCUAGGUGGUGGACAGUGCUGAUGGAAACCACAUGAGAGACUGUCAGGGGAAACUGAAGAAACUGGCGGCAAGUGCAUCCAGAAGCAGUGCAUGUGUGACGGCAUCAAUGGCUGCAGUAGUGGAGAGGAUGAAUUGGUGGAGCUGUGUGGCACUGAUGAGUGCCUUGAGAAGAAUGACAUUGAUGAGUGUGUGGUGCCCGGGGUCCUGCUCCCAAUAGUGCAUUAACACCACUGGUGGCUUCCACUGCUCCUGUCAGCCUGGCCACCACUGUGGCUCUUCCAACUACACACACUGCAAGGCUGAUUCUGGCAAUCCUUAUCCCAUCCCCCAUAGAGAAGGAGGAGGAGAACUACAAUUACGCUUGCACUCUCACUAACCUUUGCUACGACAUUUGGAUCCUGAGACUGAAGGAUGGAGAAGUGACCACCCUUGUCAAGGAUGCCAGGAGAGCCACUGCUUUCAACUUCCAGUAUAAAACCAACCAGAUCGUUUGGUGCAACAACAAGGACAAGAAGAUCAAGAGGUGAAUCGGGGAAUUGCAUGACACAGUGAAACAAAGACUAGAAGGAAGGGUCUUGAAAUUGAACUGUAUAUGCUGAGCUGCAUUGUUAGUACAAUCAUUUAGUGCAACAACAAGGACAAGAUAAUUAAGAGGUGACCAGGAGAAGAUUGCAUGAUGCCACAAAGGAAGAAAGACUAGAAGGAAGGGUUUGUCUUGAAAUUGAACUGUAUAUGCUUAGCUGCAGUGUUAAUACAGUAAUUUAGUGCAACAAUAAGGAAAAGAAGAUCAAGAGAGCCCACAUGAGCAGCCCAGAGAUUCCUUAGCUGCUGGUGGAGAAGAAUGAGAUGACAGUGGAUGGUCUUGCAGUUGACUGGAUCCAUGGGAACAUUUACUUCAUAGACAUCUUGGCAAACAAGGUGUGGUCAAAGGGACAGGAGGAGGAGGGGGGAUUCUCAGAAAUGUACCAAAGAAGUGUUGAAGGUUGGCCACAAAUCUUCAUUACUGGUGUAGUGUAUUUUAUAGACCAUUUGUAGAUUUUGUAGACAGAUUUGUAGGUGUGAAGUGGGUGUUUUUUUUGCAAUGUCCUAUUUACAUCUGCAAAAGACAGUGAUAUGUAGAAGUUGUGCAUAGCAUUGUGACAUGAAUGUACAGUGAAUAUAUGUAUAUAGUAUUUGAAAGAGGAAAUUGUAGACCAAGAGAGGAAAGUAACCUCUUGAAACAUGAUUCCUCUGAUCAUUACUCAUCAUCCUGUCAACCAUCAUGGUCGUUCAUGUGUUAAGGACCAAAUGACCAGUGUAUUCACUCCAUGCUGGAGUUCACCAAUGAUAUCACGGCAGAAACACGUGAAGAUAAUGUUCCUUGUAAUGAGAGGCUGUUUUCAUAGUGAUGGGCUGUAACAAGCAUGCCAGCUAGUCACACAUCAACAACUUGUCUAUAAAUUUCUUGUGGCCAUGUUGUUACAGUAGAUUAGUGAGUAGUUCUUAAGGGUAGUAGAUGAGUGUUUCUGUUCCUGUUGCAGGGUGUGACAUACAUACAAGGACAGCGUUCCAUGUGGCUUUGUGUAGUGGCAAGAUUUGGUGAGCUGAAGAAUCUGUUCUCUGUUGUGUGUCUCAAGUCUAGAUCACAAAUGUGUUCCUAUUUAUUUAUUUUUUUUUUUUUAUCUGAGGUAAAGCACAAAGGUAUUGUCAAGUGUAUCAUAAGAUGAUGUGACACACUGCUGGCAAAUGUGAGUCUUUCAGUGCAAUACUUAACUUAUGCUUCUGGCCAGUGUCUUGUCACAUGCUGCAGGUUUUUUUUUACCUGUAUUUAUUUUUUAUAUCUAGUGAUAUGAUAACUUGUGAGUGAUACUUCCAUACAUAUAUUUGAUAAGGUUGCACCGUGUUGGUUGUAUUAAUGUCCUUAGGGAUUAUGGUACUUUGAGUCAGAUUAUGUUAGAUUAGUGUUCUUAAACACACACAGGCAGGGAGAGGAAGAAAAGAGGCUGAGUGGAGUGAUGUGGUCAGGAAGGAGCAGGUGGAGUUGGUUGGGGAAGAGGAGAAGGGAUAAGGUGAUGUACAUAUCUUGGAGUAGUGGGACACACACACACACACACACAAUUAAUCUAGAAAAUAGAUAAAUAAACCCAGUGAGAAGGAGUGGUAGCCGUCUUUGUUUUCAGUUUAGGUGCCCCCAGCCCCCAUGAUGGUUUGUCAGAUUCUGGCCCAAUUCCAGUAUUGUUUCUAUUUUCUGAACUGAUUUGUUUUUGGCUUUUAAGUAAUUUUUUAUGGUUUCUAAAAAUAUUUACUGAUGUUUUAAGUGUUUUUCAUAUUUGUGUUAUGGGGUUGUUUGUGUCUAAAUAACCAUUGCUUUUUCACUUUUUUUUUUUGUUAUAAAAAAAAACAUCUAGUUGAGAUUUUACUGCUUCUAAAAAUACUUCAUAGUUUUUAAAGUUAUUCCUGACCAUUUAAAUAUGUGGACUUUUAGUGAUUUGUAGGCACGUUAAAAGUAAAAAAAUAGUAUGA